UACAGAGGGGGGCUAGCGUUGUUCGGAAUUACUGGGCGUAAAGCGCACGUAGGCGGCUUUGUAAGUUAGAGGUGAAAGCCCAGGGCUUAACCCUGGAAUUGCCUUUAAGACUGCAUCGCUUGAAUUGUGGAGAGGUGAGUGGAAUUCCGAGUGUAGAGGUGAAAUUCGUAGAUAUUCGGAAGAACACCAGUGGCGAAGGCGACUCACUGGACACAUAUUGACGCUGAGGUGCGAAAGCGUGGGGAGCAAACAGG
rnacentral:rRNA from 1 species